UACGGAGGGGACUAGCGUUGUUCGGAUUUACUGGGCGUAAAGAGCGCGUAGGCGGUUUGUUAAGUUGGAAGUGAAAGCCCGGGGCUCAACCUCGGAACUGCUUCCAAAACUGGCAAACUAGAGUACGGGAGGGGACAGUGGAAUUCCUAGUGUAGAGGUGAAAUUCUUAGAUAUUAGGAGGAACACCGGUGGCGAAGGCG
rnacentral:rRNA from 1 species